rnacentral:rRNA from 1 species
UGCUAGUCGAGCGCUUCAAGCCAAAAAGAGGCGCGGCAUACAGCUCAGUAACACGUGGCUAAUCUGCCCUUGGGAUAGGAAUAACCCCGGGAAACUGGGGCUAAUUCCCAAUAGGCGAAGAACUCUGGAAUGAGUCUUUACCAGAAAAGACGCUUGCGUUAUGCUCGUAGGCGUCGCCCAAGGAUGAGGCCGCGACCGAUCAGGUUGUUGGUGAGGUAAUGGCUCACCAAGCCUUUUACCGGUGCGGGCCGUGAGAGCGGGAGCCCGGAGAUGGGCACUGAGACAAGGGCCCAGGCCCUACGGGGCGCAGCAGUCGCGAAAACUUUGCAAUAAGCGAAAGCUUGACAGGGCUAUCCCGAGUGCCAUCCGCUGAGGAAGGCUUUUACCCAGUCUAGAACGCUGGGGGAAUAAGGAGAGGGCAAGUCUGGUGUCAGCCGCCGCGGUAAUACCAGCUCUCCGAGUGGUGUGGAUGUUUAUUGGGCCUAAAGCAUCCGUAGCUGGCUAAGUUAGUCCCUUGUUAAAUCCACCGAAUUAAUCGUUGGAUUGCGGGGGAUACUGCUUGGCUAGGGGACGAGAGAGGCAGACGGUAUUUCCGGGGUAGGGGUGAAAUCCUAUAAUCCCGGGAAGACCACCAGUGGCGAAGGCUGUCUGCUAGAACGCGCCCGACGGUGAGGGAUGAAAGCUGGGGGAGCGAACCGGAUUAGAUACCCGGGUAGUCCCAGCUGUAAACGAUGCAGCUAGGUGUUUGGACGGCCACGUGCCGUUCUAGUGCCGCAGGAAAGCUGUUAAGCCUGCCGCCUGGGGAGUACGAUCGCAAGAUUGAAACUUAA